AAAAUAAACCUUGCAUAUCACCCAGAAAAAGCAAAUAUUGUCCUAUUAUCAAUGAAACAGAUGUUCCAAAUACAGUCACAGACAGGCCUCCAGGGGACCAAGUUUGAACCGCUGCUUAAUUUUUCAAAAAAAAAUUGAAAAAAAAAAAAAAAAAAAAAAAAGAAAAAAAAGGAAGAAGAAGAAGAAGAAACCUAAAAUGUUGAACUAAUAUGACGUAAUUAGCCUACUCUUUCUUGGUGAAGUGUCGAACUGCAAAGGCUAAGCCUAAGAUCAAAAGAGGCACGAGAAACUGCAAGAUCUUAAUAAAAAACUCUGAUCUAUUAUUGUGAUUGUAGGAAGUUUGCUGUGGAGGAAUGUGGGUACGUUUUGCUGGAACAGUUGAUGCAUCUAUUUCACCAAUGUAGUAUUUUGCCAUCAUUUCUCUAGCAGAAUCACUGUGACCCACAUCUUCAAAAUCAUUUGUUGCAUCUUUCCCAGUUGAUGACAGCAGAACUUCAUCUCCUCCAGGAUGGUCAUCCAUGAAGGGGGUGACAUCAUACACCUUGCCAGAGAUGAUAAGCCAACAAUCCUUAGCUUUGUUGUGCUUUGCAACCUCAUCGAAUUUGUGAAUUUUGGGAUCUGAAGCCAUCGUUUUCUCCCCUAAAGUCUUGCAGAGAAGGUGUGUUCAAAGCCAACUCUUUGUUUUUGUCAACUGACCUGUCAAAGCCC
rnacentral:misc_RNA from 1 species